rnacentral:rRNA from 1 species
GACGAACGCUGGCGGCGUGCCUAAUACAUGCAAGUCGAGCGGACGAAUCGAAAGCUUGCUUUUGAUUCGUUAGCGGCGGACGGGUGAGUAACACGUGGGCAACCUGCCCUGUAGACGGGGAUAACACCGAGAAAUCGGUGCUAAUGCCGGAUAACACGAAAUGUCGCAUGACGUUUCGUUGAAAGACGGCGCAAGCUGUCGCUACAGGAUGGGCCCGCGGCGCAUUAGCUAGUUGGUGAGGUAACGGCUCACCAAGGCGACGAUGCGUAGCCGACCUGAGAGGGUGAUCGGCCACACUGGGACUGAGACACGGCCCAGACUCCUACGGGAGGCAGCAGUAGGGAAUCUUCCGCAAUGGACGAAAGUCUGACGGAGCAACGCCGCGUGAGCGAAGAAGGCCUUCGGGUCGUAAAGCUCUGUUGUUAGGGAAGAACAAGUAACGCAGUAACUGGCGUUACCGUGACGGUACCUAACGAGAAAGCCACGGCUAACUACGUG